GGAUAGCUCAGUUGGUUAGAGCAUGGUGCUGAUAGCACCAAGGUCACAGGUUCGAUACCCAUAAUGGACA
rnacentral:tRNA from 1 species